ACGUAGGGGGCUAGCGUUAUCCGGAAUUACUGGGCGUAAAGGGUGCGUAGGUGGUUUUUUAAGUCAGAAGUGAAAGGCUACGGCUCAACCGUAGUUAGCAUUUGAAACUGUAUUACUUGAGUGCAGGAGAGGUAAGUGGAAUUCCUAGUGUAGCGGUGAAAUGCGUAGAUAUUAGGAGGAACACCAGUGGCGAAGGCGACUUACUGGACUGUAACUGACGCUGAGGCAUGAAAGCGUGGGUAGCAGACAG
rnacentral:rRNA from 1 species